GACGAACGCUGGCGGCGUGCUUAACACAUGCAAGUCGAACGAUGAACCGGGUGCUUGCACUUGGGGAUCAGUGGCGAACGGGUGAGUAACACGUGAGUAACCUGCCCUGGACUCUGGGAUAACCCCGAGAAAUCGGAGCUAAUACCGGAUAGGACCUUCUCCCGCAUGGGGGUUGGUGGCAAGGUUUUCGGUUGGGGAUGGACUCGCGGCCUAUCAGCUUGUUGGUGAGGUAAUGGCUCACCAAGGCGUCGACGGGUAGCCGGCCUGAGAGGGUGACCGGCCACACUGGGACUGAGACACGGCCCAGACUCCUACGGGAGGCAGCAGUGGGGAAUAUUGCACAAUGGGCGCAAGCCUGAUGCAGCAACGCCGCGUGCGGGAUGACGGCCUUCGGGUUGUAAACCGCUUUUAGUAAGGAAGAAGGGGCUUCGGCCUUGACGGUACUUGCAGAAAAAGGACCGGCUAACUACGCGCCAGCCGCCGCAGUAACAC
rnacentral:rRNA from 1 species